rnacentral:rRNA from 1 species
AUUGAACGCUAGCGGCAUGCCUAACACAUGCAAGUCGAACGGAGUGGCGGACGGGUGAGUAAUGUAUCGGAACGUGCCCAGUAGCGGGGGAUAACUACUGGAAACAGUGGCUAAUACCGCCUACCAUCGGAUAGGCCGAUAUGGGAUUAGCUUGUUGGUGGGGUAACGGCUCACCAAGGCAACGAUCCGUAGCUGGUUUGAGAGGACGAUCAGCCACACUGGGACUGAGACACGGCCCAGACUCCUACGGGAGGCAGCAGUGGGGAAUUUUGGACAAUGGGGGCAACCCUGAUCCAGCCAUCCCGCGUGUAUGAAGAAGGCCUUCGGGUUGUAAAGUACUUUCGGCAGGGAAGCGGUAUCGACAGAAUAAGCACCGGCUAACUACGUGCCAGCAGCCGCGGUAAUUC